UACGUAGGGACCAAGCGUUGUUCGGAUUUACUGGGCGUAAAGGGCGCGUAGGCGGCGUGGUAAGUCACUUGUGAAAUCUCUGAGCUUAACUCAGAACGGCCAAGUGAUACUGCUGUGCUAGAGUGCAGAAGGGGCAAUCGGAAUUCUUGGUGUAGCGGUGAAAUGCGUAGAUAUCAAGAGGAACACCUGAGGUAAAGACGGGUUGCUGGGCUGACACUGACGCUGAGGCGCGAAAGCCAGGGGAGCAAACGGG
rnacentral:rRNA from 1 species